rnacentral:rRNA from 1 species
UGGGGAAUUUUCCGCAAUGGGGGCAACCCUGACGGAGCAACGCCGCGUGGGGGAGGAAUGUCUGUGGAUUGUAAACCCCUUUUCUCGGGGAAGAAGUUCUGACGGUACCUGAGGAAUCAGCAUCGGCUAACUCCGUGCCAGCAGCCGCGGUAAGACAGAGGAUGCAAGCGUUAUCCGGAAUUAUUGGGCGUAAAGCGUCCGUAGGCGGUUUUUCAAGUCUGCCGUUAAAGACCACAGCUUAACUGUGGGCCGGCGGUGGAAACUGUUGAACUGGAGUACGGUAGGGGUAGAGGGAAUUCCCAGUGUAGCGGUGAAAUGCGUAGAUAUUGGGAAGAACAUCGGUGGCGAAAGCGCUCUGCUGGACCGCAACUGACACUCAGGGACGAAAGCUAGGGGAGCGAAAGGGAUUAGAUACCCCCGUAGUCC